AUUAUAUUACAUGUACAACAGAUCAUGUAAUUUAUCUUAUAACAUGUCCAUGUGGUCUAUCCUAUGUGGGGAAGACGGAUUUAACUUUAAGGGAUCGCAUUCGUGGACAUAGAUCUGGCAUUAUGACGGCUUUUAGGGAUCAAAAAACGGACAAGCCAGCGGCUAAACAUUUCUUGGCUGCCUCUCAUAGACUCCCUACACUUAAAUUUGUG